rnacentral:rRNA from 1 species
GGCCGCGGGAAUUCGAUUCAGGCCUAACACAUGCAAGUCGAACGGCAGCACGGACUUCGGUCUGGUGGCGAGUGGCGAACGGGUGAGUAAUAUAUCGGAACAUACCCAGUAGUGGGGGAUAACUAUCCGAAAGGAUAGCUAAUACCGCAUACGAUCUGUGGAUGAAAGCAGGGGAUCUUCGGACCUUGUGCUAUUGGAAUGGCCGAUAUCUGAUUAGCUAGUUGGUAGGGUAAAAGCCUACCAAGGCGACGAUCAGUAGCUGGUCUGAGAGGACGACCAGCCACACUGGAACUGAGACACGGUCCAGACUCCUACGGGAGGCAGCAGUGGGGAAUUUUGGACAAUGGGGGCAACCCUGAUCCAUCAAAGGCGCGUGAGUGAAGAAGGCCCUCGGGUGUAAAUUUUAAGGUCAGGGAAGAAACGGAGUUCUCUAAUAUA